GGGCCCGCACAAGCGGUGGAGUAUGUGGUUUAAUUCGAAGAUACGCGAAAAACCUUACCAGGUCUUGACAUCCCUUGCAAUGCUGUAGAGAUACAGUGGAGGUUAUCAAGGAGACAGGUGGUGCAUGGUUGUCGUCAGCUCGUGUCGUGAGAUGUUGGGUUAAGUCCCGCAACGAGCGCAACCCUUAUUGCUAGUUGCCAUCAUUUAGUUGGGGACUCUAGCGAGACUGCCAGUGAUAAACUGGAGGAAGGUGGGGAUGACGUCAAAUCAUCAUGCCCCUUAUGACCUGGGCUACAAACGUGAUACAAUGGCUAUUACAGAGGGCCGCAAAGCUGUGAAGUGAAGCUAAACCCUUAAAAAUAGUCUCAGUUCGGAUUGAAGUCUGCAACUCGACUUCAUGAAGCCGGAAUCGCUAGUAAUCGCAAAUC
rnacentral:rRNA from 1 species